rnacentral:tRNA from 1 species
GAGGGUACAGCUCAAGUGGCAGAGCACCUGUUUAGCAUGCAUGAGGCUCUGGGUUCAAUCCCCAGUACCUUCC